ACGGAAGGCAGCAGUGGGGAAUAUUGCACAAUGGGCGAAAGCCUGAUGCAGCGACGCCGCGUGAGUGAAGAAGUAUCUCAGUAUGUAAAGCUCUAUCAGCAGGGAAGAAAAUGACGGUACCUGACUAAGAAGCCCCGGCUAACUACGUGCCAGCAGCCGCGGUAAUACGUAGGGGGCAAGCGUUAUCCGGAUUUACUGGGUGUAAAGGGAGCGUAGACGGUUUGGCAAGUCUGAAGUGAAAUGCGGGGGCUCAACUCCUGAACUGCUUUGGAAACUGUCGAACUAGAGUGCAGGAGAGGUAAGUGGAAUUCCUAGUGUAGCGGUGAAAUGCGUAGAUAUUAGGAGGAACACCAGUGGCGAAGGCGGCUUACUGGACUGUAACUGACGUUGAGGCUCGAAAGCGUGGGGAGCAAACAGGAUUAGAUACCCUGGUA
rnacentral:rRNA from 1 species